rnacentral:rRNA from 1 species
UACGAAGGGUGCAAACGUUGCUCGGAAUCACUGGGCGUAAAGCGCACGUAGGCGGAUCUUUAAGUCAGGGGUGAAAUCCCAAGGCUCAACCUUGGAACUGCCUUUGAUACUGGGGAUCUCGAGUCCGGAAGAGGUUGGUGGAACUGCGAGUGUAGAGGUGAAAUUCGUAGAUAUUCGCAAGAACACCAGUGGCGAAGGCGGCCAACUGGUCCGGUACUGACGCUGAGGUGCGAAAGCGUGGGGAGCAAACAGG